rnacentral:misc_RNA from 1 species
GAUGAAGAACGUAGCGAAAUGCGAUACGUAAUGUGAAUUGCAGAAUUCAGUGAAUCAUCGAGUCUUUGAACGCACAUUGCGCCCCCUGGUAUUCCGGGGGGCAUGCCUGACCGAGCGUCAUUGCUGCCCUCAAGCACGGCUUGUGUGUUGGGCCUCCGCCCCCCGGCUCCCGGGGGGCGGGCCCGAAAGGCAGCGGCGGCACCGCGUCCGGUCCUCGAGCGUAUGGGGCUUCGUCACCCGCUCCGUAGGCCCGGCCGGCGCCCGCCGGCGACCCCCCUCAAUCUUUCCAGGUUGACCUCGGAUCAGGUAGGGAUACCCGCUGAACUUAAGCAUAUCAAUAAGCGGGGA